rnacentral:lncRNA from 1 species
CAAAAUAUUUAUGGAACUAAGAAAUUUCUCUAUUGCCCUGCGCCGAAGAAACAUAGCCUAAAUCGAAUUAAAGAAAAACUUACUUCCUGAAAAAUCAAACAAGACAUGUGAGUUUUCUAAGGAGUAAUAAUUAUUGCACAACACACGCAGUCACACAAAUGUGUAAACAUAUCAAUCUAGUCAUCCGACUAGUUAUAUGCUCACGCAGCCAGUCACACAAAUGGCACAUACUAGCACUCACAAUCAUUAACAUCUUCAUAUAAUCACAUCACGUGGAAAUUAGUCAGUGGCNN